CUUUUCUAAAGGGGACUGGUGAAUGUCUCAGUACCCAGGACCAGGUGGGUCUCCAGCCUGGUUUCUUCAGCCUGGUUUCUGCCCACAUAUUCAACUGUGACAUAUAUCUAAAGAAGCACCCAGGAAUCAAAUCCGAGUUCGUCUACAGCUGAUUCGGCAGGUACCAGGGCGUCCGCGAUGGUGAGUGAUAGCACCGCGAUGGUGGUAUUGCUCCAUAUGCCUGAGACCCUAACAAAAGCCUAAUUACAACUCAUAUGCCUGGAGCCAGGACAUGUGCAGGAUGACUCUGCCAAGAGAGGGGAUUAUUACAUAUUGCAGAGCCCAGCACCUAGGUGGAGUGACUCUCAUCUUUUUCUUCUACCCCGUAUAUAGCCAGCUUGGUGACCUACUAUUUGAGUCUAUACCCAGGCCCAGACCACAGAUGAAAUUGUGCAAUAUGUGGAACAAACACCUAAACAAUAUAUAACACCUUCCUUGGCUCUGUCUACAAAGGGCACUUUUAUAUAUCACUGGGACCAUCAACCAGGUGAUGUUGUGCCAUAUAACUGAGACCGUAUCAAAAGCCUAAUAACAAGACGUAUGUCUGGAGCCCCGAUAUGCACAGGAUGGUGAUAUAACCCUCUUCUCUGGAAUGGGCCCCACACAAAGGAAGGAUAGUGACAUAUUGCAAGCCCAGGCACACAGGCCCAGAGCACAGUUGAAAUUGUGACAUAUGUACACCAAGCAACCAAGCAAUGUAUAACACCUCAUUUGGCAAUGGAAUCGAGGGCACUUUUACAUAUCACUGAGACCAGCGCCCAGCUGAUGUGAAAUAUUGGCCUGAACCCUGCCUACAAAAGCAUUGUGGCUUUUAUCUAGCUCCAUUACAUAAGUGAUGUGACUUCCUUCUACUGCCUUGGCCCUGCACUUAUGGUGAAUCGUGACACAAAAUUGGGUAGAGCAACCAGCCUGGGCCCUGACCAGCACAGAGAUUGAGGCAUAUUGCUGAACCCAGGACCAAGAUGAAGUCACUCUCCUGCCUUGAUCCUGCACACAGGGACCCUUGUGACAUAUAUACAGGCCAAUUGCCUAGGUGAUGUUGUGCAAUAUACCUGAGACCAGAUCAAUGGCCUAAUAAUGACUCUUUUACCUAGAGCCAGGACAUGUGCAGGAUGGUAACUCUCAUCCCUGAACCUUUCCACAGGUGUUAUUGUCACAUAUACCUUUUCCAGCUCCAAAGUGAUUUAAUAAUCCAGCCUAGUUAUAGCCCACAGAUAAUAUUUGGACAUAUACCU
ensembl:lncRNA LINC00293 long intergenic non-protein coding RNA 293